GUGCUGGAGUGAAGAAUCCAGGAAUCAGCCAUCUAACAUUUCUUAAAAGUAAUUGACUUCUGCUCUGGUGCUAAACACCUUCUUGCAGGACUACAGGAAGAGCCAUACAAGCUGCCCUAGAGCACUAUUCACAACAGUUUGAUGCAAGUCAUCAGACCAAGGAUCAGUAGCCUUGGGAGAAGAAGCCAUAUUAUAUUCAUACCUGGAAUCUUGCAGGUACACUGACUUUCACCAUAAGGCAGCCAUCAAGGGAGAAGGAGAGAGAGGAAGGAAAGAAAGGAACAUUGACUGGAGCAGGAAAGUUGAGAGAAUUUAAGAAGGGUAGCAAAGGGGAAAGGCUUACCACAGGAGAGUGUGUGCAAGCAAUGGUGGACAACAGAAUGGAUGAAGAGAUACAUGCCAGAGACCUGCGUACACACACAAGAUGCAUCUAAAUGAAGAUCAGAGACCUGGUAAUUCUUUGGUUUUAUUCCUGGUGGAUUAUUAACAUUGAAUGGACUACGUUUUCCCUCUGAAGCAGCAACCUGAUUAUUGUCUAGAGCAUACAUUAAAAGCACUAGAAAAAAAAAGUCAGUACAAACUAAAAUUACAUACAGAUGACGACUUGUUUAUACUGCUCUAUAUACUAUACACUGAAAUCUAAGACUUUGGAGAUGAAGGAAAUGAAAAAAAAAUUCUAACUCAGAAGACAUUUCAGGUCAACUAUACAACCCGGACACAUGAAAUUAAAAAAAAAAAAAAAAUCUUCUAUGCCUUAUACACAUAACACCUGAAACCGAACAACCACCACCAAAAAGGAACAAGAAAAUACUGAGGUAAAUCCUUCACCUUUUUAUAUUGUUAUGUUUGGAACAUAGCAAUAGACUGAGCUUUUAGGAUAUGCUGAACAUUCAAUAUACAAUGGCAGAUUAA